UUGGAGACAACUUGGAAAUUGCUAAGAAGGUUCAAGAGGCUAGCUUCUUUGUAACGCUUUUCCUUUUUUAUCCCCAAUCUUCUUUGCUAAAGGACUUGAAAGAGCAGACUACUCAUCUCAGCUUGUAGUUAUGGCUUCUUCUUCUUCUUCUUUUCUCCUUCUUCUUCAGUGAAACUAUGAUGUUUUUCAAUAGUUUUUGAAAGAUUGACACUCGACACAACAUUACCAGUCUUCUUCAAAGUGGAUCCAUCCCAUGUAAGAAACCAAUCAAGCUCUUUUGUCAAAGCAUCCCUCCAUGUUUGUAUCUUUGUAUAAAGGUCAUCCAAAGAUACCAACAUAGAGGGAUGUUUUGACAAUAGCUACUGCUUUAUUUGGAUGGGAUUCACAGCUCACAAGGAAACUUCUUCUCCCGAAAACUCAUCGUCUUCCUCCAUGGCUUCCGCCGGUGGUCGUUCUCAUGGAGAUGGCUCUGCUCUAGUAGCAGCUAAUGGCAAACCUGUCAUUGCAAUCAACGCAAAUUCUCAGCUUGCUCAAAAGCUCAGACCCACGAAUUUCACCUUGUGGAGGAUGCAACUUGUGACUGUAUUACGUGGUUAGCGGCUCAUGGGUUUUGUGGAUGGCACAACUCCUUGUCCACCUCAAUCUGAUGCUGAUGAUUUCGAUUAUUGGGAUAGGCAAGAUAGCCUAUUGCUCAACGCUAUUGUUGUAUCCUUGCAUGAAUCUGUGAGUCCACUUCUUGGAGAUGUUUCAACCAGUGCCACCUAGAACAAAUUGCAUCAAUUAUAUGCAAACAAAUCCAGAUCCAGAAAGAUCUAACUUCGCCAACAAUUGCACAACCUUGACUGGGGAACUCGCACAAUUGAAGAGUAUCUUCAUCAUGUUCAUCAGAUAGCUGAUGAACUAACUCUGGUCAAGAAUCCAGUAGAUGAGGAUGACCUUGUCCUGUAUAUCCUUGAUGGGCUGGGGGCAGAGUGCAAGGGCAUCGUUGAAGCUAUACGUGGGCGUGAAAACCCUAUCUCUUUUGAAGAUCUUCAUGAUCGAUUAACUAGUCAGGAGGCUUAUUUGAAGAAACUGGAGCAAAAUCAAAUGGUCAACAUUGCCAUUGCAAUUGCCAAUUUCUCUCAACGGCAACUAUCAACCCAUAAUAGAUCUCAACAAUCUGGAUCUUCUAAUUUCUCUCAACAGAGAUCCUUUCUUCUCGCCAAAACUAUGGAGGCGGUGGCAACGGAGCUCCUAACAGAUACAGCAAUGGUGGCCCAAAACAAGAAAGACCCCGUGUUAUGUGCCAGAUUUGUGAGAAACCUGGACAUUCAGCCAUAACUUGCAGAAAACUCAAAUCUUUUGUAGCAAAAUAUGCCCCAAGUGCCAAAUAUGCCACAAGUUCAGCUGGGUCAACACCUUCACAUGUGCAGCCAUGGUUGGUCGACUCUAGUGCAAGUCGCCACAUGACCUCUGAACUUGGGAAUCUCUCUAUACACUCUGAGUACGAUGUCACCGAUCUCUGCUCAUUUUGCUCAAAAGACAAGCUUGAGUGUGUGGCAUCAACAUUUGGGUCAUCCAUGUCAUGCCAUUUUGCAAUCUUUGUUAAACUAUACUUCUCUGUCAUCCUGAAACUUGACAGACCUUUUGAUUGUAAUUCCUGCAGUAUUAAUAAAAGUCAUAAGCUUCCAUUUGGCUCAUCAA